UACGUAGGGUGCAAGCGUUGUCCGGAAUUAUUGGGCGUAAAGGGCUCGUAGGCGGUCCAUCGCGUCGGGAGUGAAAAGCUGGGGCUCAACCCCAGUCCUGCUUCCGAUACGGGUGGACUAGAGGUAUGCAGGGGAGACGGAAUUCCGGGUGUAGCGGUGGAAUGCGUAGAGAUCCGGAAGAACACCGGAGGCGAAGGCGGCUUGCUGGCAUGGUCUGACGCUGAGGCGCGAAAGCGUGGGGAGCGA
rnacentral:rRNA from 1 species